UACGUAGGGGGCAAGCGUUGUCCGGAAUUAUUGGGCGUAAAGAGCGUGUAGGCGGCCAGGUAGGUCUGCUGUGAAAACUCGAGGCUUAACCUCGAGCUGUCGGCGGAAACCAUCUGGCUAGAGUCCGGAAGAGGAGAAUGGAAUUCCUGGUGUAGCGGUGAAAUGCGCAGAUAUCAGGAAGAACACCAAUGGCGAAGGCAGCUCUCUGGGACGGUACUGACGCUGAGACGCGAAAGCGUGGGGAGCGAACAGG
rnacentral:rRNA from 1 species